GAUGAACGCUGGCGGCGUGCCUAAUACAUGCAAGUCGAGCGAACGGACGAGAAGCUUGCUUCUCUGAUGUUAGCGGCGGACGGGUGAGUAACACGUGGAUAACCUACCUAUAAGACUUGGAUAACUUCGGGAAACCGGAGCUAAUACCGGAUAAUAUUUUGAACCUCAUUGUUCAAAAGUGAAAGACGGUCUUUCUGUCACUUAUAGAUGGAUCCGCGCUGCAUUAGCUAGUUGGUAAGGUAACGGCUUACCAAGGCAACGAUGCAUAGCCGACCUGAGAGGGUGAUCGGCCAAACUGGAACUGAGACACGGUCCAGACUCCUACGGGAGGCAGCAGUAGGGAAUCUUACGCAAUGGGCGAAAGCCUGACGGAGCAACGCCGCGUGAGUGAUGAAGGUCUUCGGAUCGUAAAACUCUGUUAUUAGGGAAGAACAUAUGUGUAAGUAACUGUGCACAUAUUGACGGUACCUAAUCAGAAAGCCACGGCUAACUACGUG
rnacentral:rRNA from 1 species